rnacentral:rRNA from 1 species
UACGAAGGGUGCAAGCGUUACUCGGAAUUACUGGGCGUAAAGCGUGCGUAGGCGGAUGUUUAAGUGCAAUGCGAAAUCCUGUGGCUCAACCAUAUGGACUGUAUUGCAUACUGGAUAUCUGGAGGAAUGCAGAGGCAAGUGGAAUUACCGGUGUAGCAGUGAAAUGCGUAGAGAUCGGUAGGAACACCAAUGGCGAAGGCAGCUUGCUGGGCAUUUUCUGACGCUAAGGCACGAAAGCGUGGGGAGCGAACAGG